CGGGGGUGAGUAAACACGUGAGUAAACCCUGCCCCUUGACUCUGGAAAUAAACUCCGGGAAACCGGGGGCUAAUACUGGAUAUGACACAUGGCCGCAUGGUCUGUGUGUGGAAAGUUUUUCGGUUGAGGAUGGACUCGCGGCCUAUCAGCUUGUUGGUGAGGUAGUGGCUUACCAAGGCGAUGACGGGUAGCCGGCCUGAGAGGGCGACCGGCCACACUGGGACUGAGACACGGCCCAGACUCCUACGGGAGGCAGCAGUGGGGAAUAUUGCACAAUGGGCGAAAGCCUGAUGCAGCGACGCCGCGUGAGGGAUGACGGCCUUCGGGUUGUAAACCUCUUUCAGCAGGGAAGAAGCGCAAGUGACGGUACCUGCAGAAGAAGCACCGGCUAACUACGUGC
rnacentral:rRNA from 1 species